rnacentral:ncRNA from 1 species
GACGGAUUCGAAAUUCCCGGAUUUUCAAGCAGGAUCAGAACGCGCAUCGACCCACGUAGUAACGGCGCUCGCCGGCGCAAAUAUAGUCUAUGAAUCU